rnacentral:pre_miRNA from 1 species
UCUUAUGAAUGAGCAGAGAAAGUGGUUUUUUGAGAUGAAAUCUACUCCUGGUAAAGAUGUUGUGAA